rnacentral:tRNA from 1 species
GGCCGCCUGGCGAAAUGGCAUCGCGUCUGACUACGAUGGUUGUGUAGAUUAUCAGAGUAAUCAGGAGAUUGCAGGUUCGACCCCUGCGGUGGUCA